UCUCUUGAACUGAAUUUUAAUGUGCGUAUUGUUAUUCUUUUACUUUUCUACAUUGGCUAGAGGUAUAGGGGGAGGGUUGAGAUCUCAUAAACAUGUUUAACCCCGCCGCAAUUUUGCGCCUGUCCCAAGUCAGGAGCCUCUGGCCUUUGUUAGUCUUGUAUGAUUUUAAAAUUUUAGUUUCUUGUGUAUAAUUCGGAGUUUAGUAUGACGUCCAUUAUCACUGUACUAUUAUGCAUAUUUUAGGGGCCAGCUGAGGGACACCUACGGGUGCGGGAAUUCUCGCUACAUUGAAGACCCAUUGGUUGCCUUCGGCUGUUGUUUGCUCUAUGGUCGGGUGGUUGUCGCUUUGACAUAUUCACCAUUUCCUUUCUCUCAAUUUUAU
rnacentral:lncRNA from 1 species